CCCGCUGUCGCCGCGCGAUAGGGCGCGGGCGCGGCGCGGCCCAUGGCGCUGUCGCUGCCCGACGCCGUGGCGGUGCUGGCCGCCCUGGCCGCCCUUCUCUUCCUCCUGAUUUGUAUGAUUGCUCAUGUAACUGCCAGAAAAAUGCCAACCCUCCCCCAACAUAAAGAAGAGAAAUUCUUCAUAAAUGCUGAAGGCAGGAAAGAAUCUGUACCAAGUAUACAUGAUCCACCUACAAGGGAACUCUCCGUUGUUGUGCCUUCGUACAACGAGGAAGACCGGUUACCUCUUAUGAUGGAUGAAGCUUUGGAUUACCUAGAAAAAAGACAGAAACGAGAUCCUUCGUUCACUUAUGAAGUAAUAGUGGUCGAUGAUGGUAGUAAAGAUCAAACUACGAAGGUUGCAAUGAAGUACUGCAAGAAAUAUGGAAGCGACAAAGUGCGAGUGCUUUCUUUGGUAAAAAAUCGAGGGAAAGGAGGAGCAGUCAGGAUGGGUGUCUUUAGUUCUCGGGGAAAAAAAGUUCUUAUGGCUGAUGCAGAUGGAGCUACAAAAUUUGCAGAUAUUGAAAAAGUAGAAGAAGGUCUACAAAAUCUUCAGCCGUGGCCUUGCCAGAUGGCUAUUUCCUGUGGUUCUAGAGCUCAUCUGGAGAAGGACUCGAUAGCAAAGCGCUCUUACUUUCGAACUCUCCUCAUGUACGGGUUCCACUUCCUUGUAUGGUUUCUCUGUGUCAAAGGGAUCAGGGACACGCAGUGCGGAUUUAAACUUUUAACCAGAGAAGCUGCCUCGCGGACCUUCUCAACUCUUCAUAUAGAACGCUGGGCGUUUGAUGUGGAACUUCUUUAUAUAGCUCAGCGCUUGAGAAUACCUAUAGCAGAAGUUGCUGUCAACUGGACUGAAAUUGAAGGUUCUAAAUUAGUUCCCUUUUGGAGCUGGCUGCAGAUGGGCAGGGAUCUUCUUUUUAUACGACUGCGAUAUAUGACUGGUGCCUGGCAGCUUGAAACAAGAAAAUGUAAUUAGGUUAUUUACAUUUUCCAAAUAUAUUAUUAUACUUAAUGGAACAUGAGAACAGCUUCAAUCAAGUGAAGUGGUGAUGAAAGCUGAGGUGUAACCCGUGGAGAUGCAAGUCUUCUAGAUUGCUCACUGUCCUGCAUGAUCCAGCCCUCUAAAUACACAUCAAAACAAAGUAAUCUCACAGGCUUUGAAAAGGAAAUAAAAACAAAUAGAGAAGAUCUACACGGCAAUCCUGCAAUGCUUACCAACACCAAUGCCUGCAUAGUUAGUGCUUUCAAAAAUACAGAUUUAAAUUUAAAAAAAAAAAAAAUUUAUAUCUCUCCAUAAAAAACUUCUUUUUCUGCAACACUUUACUAACACUUCAUAAGAGACUUUUUCAAUAGGCUACGUAACAUUAGAGUUCUCUUUGAAAAACACUGGCAAAAAAACAAGCUACUGAAAAAGGUUCAGUAGUUUACACAAGUUUUCUUCACUGUUACCAUUUCUUAUCACAAGCUGAAGCAAUAGCAAUGCAAAAUCCCCUGAUACACACUUAGCUUUUAUACUUACAAGCCAUUUUUCACAUAUGAAUUAGAAAAAAACAGUGAAGAUUCUCUCUUUCUACCCUCAGGUGUGUCCUGCCGAUGAGCAGUGUGUUUUCUGUGACAACUCUAGGAGUUAAGUUAGUAUUCCUAACUGUUUUCAGUGACACUGCAGCAUUAUCCCAAAGCAGGGUAACUCUUCAAUGAGUAAUAACACAGCUUUCAUCAGUCUCAAUCUAUACAAAAGUACUCGGAGAUCACUACUAUGAAGUAGCAGCAGCCAGACACAGACGACAGCUCCAGUUCAUUCUGCAGAAUUGUGUUCAGUAACACAUCAGUUUACAAGUCUCAGAGCCUCUGUGCAGACCCUUCCACCACCACCAAUGCAGAAGAGUCCAGGGUAGUUUUUCACCAUGGGAAAUGAAAUUGUAUUAUUAUAUGUAAGCACAGCAACAUCUCCCAGCCAUUGAAUAGUCUCAGCCAGUAUUUAACUUGAAUCCUCUGCUAACAUUGAAGGCUCUGGAGACCUAUCCAUAAUUAUUUAUGUACCUAUUGUACAAGUGUUCCUUGAGUUCACAGUCAAAUGCUGACUGCAAACUAAAAAUAGUCGAAAUGAAGAGACAGGCAAAGACAGAAGGCUGCAAUGAAGUUUCUGUAUCUCAGUGUUUAUUACUUAAAAUAACAUCUAACCUUAUUUAUGAUCCAUGUAUGUUUCUUAGGGAUGCAGUGGCAUGUCUGUUAUAGCUCAAGGGGCAUGAAUUAAAGUAGUGUUCCAGUACUGUUGAAGGCUGCACCCUGCCAGCUGAACC